ensembl:lncRNA
AUAUAUACACACACGAGCGAACUACAUGGCAAAAACAUGUGACCUAUAUCAUGAUAUUUAAAUGUGCUUUAAAAAAAGUGCAAUCUGAAUUUUAAAAGUAUAUUUCUAUGCAACAGUGAAAAAAAUUAACAAACAGUCCACAUGCGUAAGGAAAUUUUUGAAAUCGUAUGUUUUUAUUUUUUAUUCAAACGUUUUCUGUCCACGUGAAAUCCUCAAGUCACCGAAUUCACGGCUUUUUGAAAACAGGCACUUCUGGCGUCGUUCUGAUGCGGCCAUGUUGUUUUUCAGUGUUUCGACCUUCUCUACGCAGCUCUUUACGUUACUCUAGAGGUGGCUUUUUUUUUUUUAUGUGCAUUCGUUACGUCACAUAUAUUGCCACCUGCUGCUCAUGUUUUUGCGGUUUAUCAUGAAGGUGUUGAAGUGGACAGGAAUGUUUUUUUUUUGUUUGUUUGUUUUUAAGCGGGGAGUAAAAAAAACAAACUGCGUAUUCAAACCCGUAUACAUGUGCAUUUUAACGUCCAAUCAGCUCCGUGUUAGCUGAGUUAGUCAAUUUAGAGUUGCAAAGGUUUCCGUUAAAUGAAUGUAUGAUUUUAGAAUUCAUCACGAUAUCCGAAACACGCAUACAAGACCUCACAAACGCUCUUAUAGCUGACCGAAUGAAAACAAAUCCCCACAGAUACACCCCAAAAUUAAUUGGAAAUCCUUCCCAGAAGAGUGGAGCACAUCAUAACUGCAAAUCUGGAACGGGAAGUUGAACAAGCACAUACGGGUCUGAUGGUCAGGUGUGCACAAACUUCUGGUCUGUAAAAACCGUUUAUAGCACUGUCGAAAACUGUAUAUUUCAAACAAGCAUCCAUUUUUAUCGCCUUUUAUUACGUUUGAUUCUUCGGUUGUAUAAAGUGUGAAAAGGGAACAAAAUGAGCACUUUGGGGAUUCGGUUUAUUGUCUGUUAUUUAAACCAAUCUAACCCUUGGUUUGAGUACAAGCACGCACAAAAAAUGCUGCUGUUGAAGUAAACAGAUUUCAGACGUAAACGUGCGUCAAGUUCAUUGUAUUCGGCGUAAAAAUGGAACGGGAUUGGGGUGGCACGUUUUAAAGCCGGAUUUAGGAACGAUGUCGUAGUUUCCGGGGUUACAGUACUACGAUUCCUCCUUUUUUCUAGAUUAUCCACUUGUGCCGAGUUAGCAUUAUGCUAACAUUCAUUGCUCUCUCAUCUGACGAACUGAAUUAUGUAGAAGAAGAUCAAACAUUUCUUAACGCCAGUGCAAAAACCCAUCUACGCAGUUUCAUCUUCAGGCAAAGACGUGGAUUGUGUGAAAUACGUAAGGAACAACGCACUCAGGGUUAAAACAUACUGUUAUAGGAAAAUAAUCAAUAACAGGGAUCAUUUUCUAUAACUGCAUGGCAGAUUUGAGCUAUAUUAUGUUACAGAUAAAUAAUUAUAGCGUCACACAUGACCUGGAUGAUCAAUAGUUCUGGAAAGUUUUAUUUUGAAAAAUAUCCUUUUUGGUGUUACUUUAAUAGAAGCUGAUGGUUUGACAUUUUUUCACGUCGUGUCCUAAUCUGCCGUUUCUUUAUGCCAGGAAGAAAACUCCUCUGCUGAAACGUUUGCAGGUCAAACACAACUAGCCUAGCACAGUGGGUUAAAUGGAAAAGGCGGAAAAUUCCAGACAUUUCAUAUGAACUGCUGUGAACAGAGAACUUGGCAUUUCACCUACAGAUAUUUCUUUUCUGUUCAUAAAAUCAUGGCUUAAUGUACUUUAUCACGAUUUUCAUGUCAGUAGAAUUUUAAUUUAGUAGCAAAUGCUAUUAAACACUCAAGGUUUUUCUGAAGUAUUUGUUCUAAUGUAAAGUUGUUUUUUUUUCUAAAUAAAUGAACAGUUAAAUAAAACUGUUUUGUACUUGCUUUAAUCUUUAAAUUCAUACCUCAGGACCGUCAUACCCC